AUUGGAACGGAAUGUGUUAGUCUUUAAUCUUAGUAGUGUGAUUUCAAUUUAUCUCACAUGAUCAUUUCCAAGCAUCGGAAGCAUAAGUAUACGUUUCAUGUACAUGAGAAUACGCAGUCGUGAAACGUUUAAGGAUAUUGAUCUUUGAUCGCUCGGUUGUUUCUAGCAAUCGACCCGUUUAUAAGAUAAUUAUUGUUUAAGGCCAAUAUCUCGAAUCUUCGAGUUCUUCCCGUCAAUCAAUCUAUUUAUAUUACUUAUUUUUCCAGUCACUCAUAUACCGAGAAAUUCUAAAUAUAUCCAACACGCGCAAGAAGAAUCACUUUGUGCAUUUUGAUCAUUUGAUUGAUUGAAACCCUAGUGUAUCUUUCAUUCCUCGAAGAGAAACGUAUAAAUCUUUAAGAAAUUUCAUUCGAUUCGAAACUUAUACGUAUUCUUCCCUUUUUCAAGGUUAGAAGAAACAAGUAGCAUGCCAUCACGUGUACCAGAGUCGACGUAUAGAAACGUAAUCGGAGUGGAAUGGCAUUCAGUUGAAAUAUCGACGCAUGAUUUACGUCAAGAAUGUCCGCCAACCGACCAAUUGAUACCAAUUCCGUCCGUUGUGCAAUUGGCGUCGCUUGACAUCACUUUAUUUAGACGCAUGCGCUAUUUAUCACGCUAAACGUCGUAUUCUGUGAACGGCCAUGUUGUGUAAAAGGUUGCGGAUCAAGAAAAAAUGGAGGAUUUGUCACAUGACGAAUAUCGUGAUUCAACGAUGACAAAAAUAACGUGUGUGAUUACGAUAAUGAAACAGACAUUCCCGAAUUCACGAAGUUACCACAUGCAAAAUGAAUGUAAUGAAUUAUUGGACCAUGAUAAACGAUCACAUCUAAACCCAAAAUCUCGUCGAAAUAUAUCGUGAACGAAAUUUACAAAUACGAUAUUGCUGAGUAAUCAGAAAUCUUUAUUUCGGGGUUAUCGAAAUCUGACAUUUUCUUUGAAACAGUAAACACUUAGAUUUGUCAAAGUCUCGAUUCUAGACCUUUAAAAAUGACCUAGUGUUUUUAUAGUAUUUAUUAUGUAUUAUAUAUAUUAUAUAACAUAAUGUAACAUAAAUUCUUCAAAUCUUUAAACUCUCAAUCUUCGUUCUUUUGUUAGUCCUCAUUGUCAAAGAUCUCUAAAGCUUAAAGAAAACAGUGAUAUAGUUUACCUGCACUUUAGUUGGGCAUUCUCUCCCCGUCGAAUAGAGCCGAGUUCCAAACUGGAGUUGGAGGCGUCUGAAUCGCUGUGCACUGGGCUCGGUGGGCCACCGUUCGUCAAACCAUCAGGCGACACUCCCAAACCGGGCAACGCGGUCGAUGGGGAAGUUCCGAGUUCUUCCUCGACCGGCAUGCUUCGCGGCCAAACCGGAAGGUCUAGCGGUGCUUGCUGAUGCAGGCUGAGGCUCCCGUAGUAGUUGAUGUUUGGGCUAGUCGGGUAACCGGAAAUCGGGCUGUAAAAACCCGGUAUCGCUCCUAGCAACGUGCCA